GGACGUUGAUAGGUUGGAUGUGGAAGCAUAGUGAUAUGUGAAGCUGACCAAUACUAAUUGCUCGUGAGGCUUGACUAUACAACACCCAAGCAGUUG
rnacentral:rRNA from 1 species